rnacentral:lncRNA from 1 species
GGUGACGCUGACUGCAAUGAGGGAUCUUGAUUGUUUCUCACGCCAUUGUUUUCUUAGGCAGGAUUUAAGGCUGGCAGUAUCAUCAACGAUGUGGUUUAUCCAUUCACUACUAUUAAGGACAAUAUUUCCUAUUGAAGUUGGAAGAGAUUUCUUAAAAACUCAUCUAACUUAAUAUUUACAGCGAGAAAAACAAUCACAAUACUUAGAAAGCGAAAUAUAUUGGAAGUAGAUUUCACUCCACUCCAAACCUUGUCUA